rnacentral:rRNA from 1 species
GCAUAACGCGAAGAACCUUACCUGGCCUUGACAUGUCCGGAACCCUGCAGAGAUGCUUUGGUGCCUUCGGGAACUCUGAGACAGGUGCUGCAUGGCUGUCGUCAGCUCGUGUUGUGAAAUGUUGGGUUAAGUCCCGCAACGAGCGCAACCCUUAUCCUUUGUUGCCAGCGGUUAGGCCGGGAACUCAAAGGAGACUGCCAGUGAUAAACUGGAGGAAGGUGGGGAUGACGUCAAGUCAUCAUGGCCCUUACGAGUAGGGCUACACACGUGCUACAAUGGCAUAUACAAAGAGAAGCGACCUCGCGAGAGCAAGCGGACCUCAUAAAGUAUGUCGUAGUCCGGAUUGGAGUCUGCAACUCGACUCCAUGAAGUCGGAAUCGCUAAUAAUCGUGGAUCAGAAUGCCACGGUGAAUACGUUCCCGGGUCUUGUACACACCG